rnacentral:rRNA from 1 species
GGGGAGUAUUGGACAAUGGGCGAAAGCCUGAUCCAGCCAUGCCGCGUGUGUGAAGAAGGCCUUUUGGUUGUAAAGCACUUUAAGCGAGGAGGAGGCUACUUAGAUUAAUACUCUAGGAUAGUGGACGUUACUCGCAGAAUAAGCACCGGCUAACUCUGUGCCAGCAGCCGCGGUAAUACAGAGGGUGCGAGCGUUAAUCGGAUUUACUGGGCGUAAAGCGUGCGUAGGCGGCUUUUUAAGUCGGAUGUGAAAUCCCUGAGCUUAACUUAGGAAUUGCAUUCGAUACUGGGAAGCUAGAGUAUGGGAGAGGAUGGUAGAAUUCCAGGUGUAGCGGUGAAAUGCGUAGAGAUCUGGAGGAAUACCGGUGGCGAAGGCGGCCCCCUGGACAAAGACUGACGCUCAGGUGCGAAAGCGUGGGGAGCAAAC